UUUCAAUUUAAUGACGCAGUGAUGUGUUCUCUGUCAAACAUGCAAUUGAAUUUUUUUCUUCAUUUUUGCGUGCAUGAUACUGUCAUUAGAUUCAAUUUUGUUUUUUGUUUUCUAGUUGAUGAUAACAACAAGCAUAUUUUUAAAACCAACAAAAUGAAUGUGGCAACCAUGUUCUAUGUCGGAGUUAUUGUAACAACGAUAUUGAUGUCAGUUGAUGCAGAUCUUAUAAAACACGACCUCUCAUCUCAACCCAAAUGCAAAGAAGUUACCCGCCGCGCAGUGUUUAGAAAAGAGUGUGGUUGGGAAACCGGUCUCUACAGAAAUCUAGACCAUUAUUACCUUAAUGGCAGGAUCAUUGCCUACAAGAUACAAUGGUUCAAUGGCUCCUGGUCGGGUUGGUACGUUCCGGGCGUCAAUGACAUCGACGGAAAAGUCAACGUGUAUAGACACCGCUGUCGUCAUUUUCCAUGGAAAUUGAAUUCCGUAAGGAAGAUCUGGUCUUAUUUCUACGACCACACACACAAGUACAUCCUUUGUGUGGACAGACAUUGAGAGAAGGCUGAGGAAACGAGGGGAAGACCCUCGAAAUGUAACCUUGUCGUUGUUUAUCUAUACGUGGCAAGAUACAGAAUAAAAAUAUAGUCGUU